UAGGGAAUCUUCCGCAAUGGGCGAAAGCCUGACGGAGCAACGCCGCGUGAGUGAUGAAGGUUUUCGGAUCGUAAAACUCUGUUAUUAGGGAAGAACAAAUGUGUAAGUAACUAUGCACGUCUUGACGGUACCUAAUCAGAAAGCCACGGCUAACUACGUGCCAGCAGCCGCGGUAAUACGUAGGUGGCAAGCGUUAUCCGGAAUUAUUGGGCGUAAAGCGCGCGUAGGCGGUUUUUUAAGUCUGAUGUGAAAGCCCACGGCUCAACCGUGGAGGGUCAUUGGAAACUGGGAAACUUGAGUGCGGAAGAGGAAAGUGGAAUUCCAUGUGUAGCGGUGAAAUGCGCAGAGAUAUGGAGGAACACCAGUGGCGAAAGCGACUUUCUGGUCUGUAACUGACGCUGAUGUGCGAAAGCGUGGGGAUCAAACAGG
rnacentral:rRNA from 1 species